CAAUUGGCCCUUUUCAGGGCCAACAAAUGUGUAUUAAAUUAAUUA
rfam:Aedes aegypti strain Liverpool supercont1.320 genomic scaffold, whole genome shotgun sequence.